rnacentral:lncRNA from 1 species
CCAGCACGUGUAGUAGCAUGAACUAAAGAAAAAUCAUAUAUAUACGCACGGGUGACUCGAACCUCCCAACAUAUACUAAGGUGACUUAAGCACCCGAUCAUGUAAUGUAAUAUGAGAGACUCUAACCUCCAAAUUAUGUAAUAAUAAUAAUAAUAAGGUGGACUUGAACCACCUGGUCAUAAGCAAGGGUACUUAAACCCUCAAGUCAUAUCGACCCC